GAUGAAGAAACGCAGCGAAACGCGAUAUGUAAUGUGAAUUGCAGAAUUCAGUGAAUCAUCGAAUCUUUGAACGCACCUUGCGCCCCUUGGUAUUCCGAGGGGCAUGCCUGUUUGAGUGUCAUGAAUCCUUCGAACCCCACCGGUUUCUAACGAGCCGGCUGCCUGGGUUCGGUUCUGGGCGCAACGCCAUCCCUCCGGGACUGGGCCCGCCUUAAAAGCAUUAGCUGGACCUCGCGACAUGGGCAGGUUCCGAUCGGCGUGAUAAGUCAUUUGCUGAGAGGGUACCUGUCCCGCGGAUCACGGUCUGCUUCCAACCCUUCUCGCGCGUCCCUUUCUGGGAGCGUGCGGAAACAUUUUAACGCUCUGGCCUCAAAUCAGGUAGGACUACCCGCUGAACUUCAGCUUAUCAAUAAGCGGAGGA
rnacentral:misc_RNA from 1 species